UACGAAGGGUGCGAGCGUUGUUCGGAAUUACUGGGCGUAAAGGGUUUGUAGGCAGAGAUGUAAGUCAAGUGUGAAAUCCCCGAGCUAAACUUGGGACGUGCAUUUGAAACUGUGUUUCUUGAGUAUCGUAGAGGGUGGUGGAAUUGUAGGUGUAGGAGUGACAUCCGUAGAGAUCUGCAGGAACACCCGUGGCGAAAGCGGCGCGCUGGACCACUACUGACGCUGAGGAACGAAAGCUAGGGGAGCAAACAGG
rnacentral:rRNA from 1 species